ensembl:lincRNA
AUGCCGAGACACAGCCGUUGCCGCACGCCCGCAAGUUGCACCCCCCUUGGGCCAGGUCCCCACCUCAUCCUCCCUGGAUGCUCCGGGUCCGCACUCCGCACGCUGUCCCCAGAGCGAGAUCGAGGAAACCCGCGUGGGAACGCGGAGCUGGCUGGCAAGGCUGAGCUCGCUCGGGGCUCCUCGCUUCUGUCGCUAGCCCAUCACCGCUCCUCCUCCUCCUCCUCCAUCGGCCACAGACCGCGGAGGAUCAGCGCGCUCCUCUUCCCGGAGCCCAGAGACCAGCCGAGGAAAGUUGCUGCCCCAAUUUGCGGGAACGUCUCCCGCAUUCGUCCUCUGGUCGGAUGCAAAAGUCGGGGGCAGGUGGAGGAUGCAGACAGAGGAGGCGAAAAGGGGAAAGAAGGCGAACGGAGGAGAGAGGGUACCGGAAUUAGUGAGAAGAGUGAGGAGAACCAGCAGGAAGAUAGAACAAAAAGCUGGCGGAAUCAAAGAAGUGUUCAAACAGCCAGCUGAAUUCAUUGCAUUUCUCAACCACAGAAAUAUUUUCAGGUGUGAGAAGAGAAGAGUGACUGCACAGCUCUGGACACAAAGAGUGAACAGCACACCUGUUAUUAAGGGAAAGAAAUCUUGAACAUGGGAUCAGAAGUCUUUUUUUUUUUUUUUUUUCUAGGCCUUUGUAUCUCUUUUGGCAAAUCUGUGUCAUUGACCCAUUGGAACUUAAGCUUUUUCUCUGUUAAAUGAAGGAGCUGAGAUCAAUGUUCUCUAAGAUUCUUUGUUUCUAACUUUCUAUCCAUUGUCUCCAAGUUUUUCUACCUUGCCAGUUUGCUAUAAUCCUCACCAGCUCUUCAACACCUAACAUGACCAGAUUUGUGCUUUGAUAAAGUCACUUGGUUGCAAUAUGGAAAACAGACUGGAGGGUGAGAGAGGUCAGAGGCUGAUGCUAUGAUUCCUGAGUAAACUGAGGGUGCUGUGAUCUCAUGGUGUGGGGCUAGACAGAGGGGAUGGAGCCAGAAGAGAGCUGGUGUCAAGCUGUGUGAAGCAGCUUCACUGAGUGGGAUUUGGUGAGUGAGGAGAAAGGGGGUGGCAAGGGUGAUGCUCAGGCUCUGGCUUGGGCCAUCUGCCAGCAUUAGUGUCCCUCCCUGGAACAGAGCAGGACAAUCAGCUUUAGGGAAUACAGAUACAAGUGUGAUUUUGGACUUGGUGACUUGAAGUCUCUUUGGGACAUUGACAUCUGAAAGUUUCUGGACGCCUGAGGAAUUCUGACUUUCCCCCAGGACAUAUCACUCAGCCUAUCUCCCCACAUGUCAUGGCAUCUGGAAAAUAAUUCAAAUCCAACAAUAAUUUUGAAAAGCUAUGUAGAUUUUUCUGGAAGUCUCCUUGGAAAGACAGAGGAAGAGAGUUACAUUGCAUAUUAUACAUUAAAAUUUCUUUAAAGUCACCCUUACAUAUAGCUCUUUCCCUGAAUCUUGGCUCUGCAUAACAAUUUCUAAUCAUUUCCUUUCCUUCUUGAAAUUAUAACCAACAACUGUUUUUCUCUAACCACCAUGCUCCAAAAUGCCAAAACACUUUGCUUUUUUUAUUCACUUAGACAUGAAAUUGAGGGGCCAGGCUUGGUCUUAAGGCAUUUCCAUUGCUUCCUGUCAUACCUACGUCUCAAUUUUAUUAUGAAGCACAUCAUGUCCUUAUUAAGUAUACAUAUAUUAGUCUCCUCUAUUCCUCUAUUUGAUGCUGAACCCCUCAUGGACAGGGAUGUUGCUUUUUCUUGUUUGUUUAUUUGUUUUCUUAAUGUAAUGUCAGAACUUAGGUUAGACUUAGGUGGGAAACUCAUGUUUAUUCAUUAAAAAAAGAAGAAUUAUAUUUAUGCAUUAGUUAAUUAUUUUUCAAAUCAUACUUAUUUUUGUGAAACUUUCCUGGACUUUUGAGGUUGAAAUAAUCUCUCUUUUAUAAGCUCCCAAAACAAAUUGAUUGUACCUUUGGCUUUAGCUUCCACUUAUCACAGGCUACAUCAUGUUGAGUUAAUUCCAUACAAUAUUCCAUAAGUAUCAUAUCUCUACUAUGCUAAUCAAAGUUUAUUAGUCUUUGUAUUCCCAACACCCAGCCUACAGUUGGACUAUGUUGGAUGCUUUAAAAGUGUUUUUUAAAUAAAACUGUGAGGGUGUAAAUAAAUGGAUACUUGUUCUAGUGUUUAGGUUUGUAUCUAUUAACUGUUGAUGAUCUCUGUAUUCUCUCACUCUUGUAAAACACUUUUGCUUCUGAUUGUUUAUCUUGUGCUAACCCAGCUUUAUUCUGCUUGAGUGUAGAGAGCAUUUUUUUCUAGUUUGUAUCCUUUUAUUAUAUUUCUUGUUUCUACAUUUUGCUAAUGCUAAUUUCUGAAAACAUUAAUUGAAUGAAGCCAUGCAUUCAAAGUUCCAUGGAAUAUCUAGUCUACCAUCCUCAAAAUGUCAUCCUCAAGUUUGAAAAAUGGGCAUCGAUAAGUAAUUGAACAAAAUUUGCAAUAUCUUAGCAAGAAAGAAGAUAUAAAUCUAUUGGCAAGGCCACUGAUAGUGUCUACCUCCAUAUGAUGUUGCAUGAUCUCAAGAACAUGUUUGAGAUUUUGUAUCUGUUCACAGGAAUUUUAAAAACAUUAAUACUUGGUUGCACUAGCUUAUGAUUUUCUCUUUUAGCAAUAUGUAAAUCUGAGGGUUUCCUCGAUUGGAUUAAGUGCUACAAUAAGUAUAUAUGUCUUAUCUUAUAUACCACCUGCAACGCAUUUUAAGUAUUUUAUUAAUCUUUCAAUAAAGAAUAACUUCACCUACUUCAAAGUGCAAAAAAAACCUCUGAAAGCUUAUAUGGAGAUAUUUUUAAGUGUACCAAAAUAGAACUGGUGCAUAGAAAAUGAGAAAUUUCCCUUUAAUUAGAAUGACAGCAGGAAUUUAGGAAGGCAGAAUUUAAUGUAAUUAAAAUUGGAAAAUCAUUAUUUAACAAGAGUCAUGCUACAUUUCUUGAAGAAAACACAAUGAGGUUUUUUAAUUUCAGAUGAAUCAAUAAUUUUAUUUUUAUGUCUCUCCUGGGCCUGUUUUAAUUAAAAGAGUAUGGAAGAUAAAUUUGAGGAGGCAUUCUUAACAUUCCUUGUCUCAAUUGCAAUCUUUUGCUUGAGAAAUAUGUUGAAACAUUAAGUCAAAUUUCAAAAAAAUGAUACUCCAAAAACUAAUAUGAAUGUAGGGAACCAAGAAUAUUGAAUAAUUCCAGGAAUAAGAGAUAAUAUUUAAAGAUUGAAUAUAGCUGUGCUAGUUUAUUCUGUGUUCCUUACUGCUUGCCUGCUUAUUGAUAUUUUAAAAAUUUUAAAUAUAUCUUAAAAAUUACAAAAAUUAAUAUAUGAGUCAUACAGAAAAUUUGGAAAUACAGAAAGCAACAGAAGGAAAUUACUCCAAAGCUUGCCACCAAAGAAUAACCACUGUUAACAUUUUCUUUUAGUCUUUAUCCAGGUAAGACAUUUUUUAAAAGGAUGGUCACCCUUUUUGAGAUAUUUUUUAAUACACUUUUACCACUUAGCAAUUUAUCCAGAACAUUUUUAAUGUCAAGUAUUAUUCCACUGUAUGAAUUAAUGACCAUAUGGCAUUAUCUCAUAUGAAUGUAUCUGUGUUUAUUAAACAAUCUCCUGCCACUUAACAUUUAGCUAUUUCUAAUUUUUCAUUAUUUUCAUCAAUAUUUUAAGUUGACAAAUCAUAAUUAUAUACAUUUAGAGGGUACAGUGUGAUGUUUUAAUAUAUGUAUAGAAUGUUAAAUGAUUAAAUCAAGCUAAUUAAUAUAUGCAUCAUUUCAUUUACCUAUCAUAUUUAUAGUAAGACCUUUGAAAUUUACUUUCUCAGUUAUUUUGAAAUAUACAAUACAAUAUUAUUGACUAUAGUCACACUGCUGUGCAAUAGAUCUCAAAACUUAUUCUUCCUGUCUAUCUGAAACUUUGUACCUUCUGACCAACAAUGCUUAUUGACAUAUUUUGUUAAAGAAGAAAAGUUUUGCCAUGAUCACAUCCUGAGCCUACAUUGUGAAUUUAAAUUGUAAAUUGUGCAUUGCAAUUGCAUGUCAGGUUUUUCAGCUUUGACUCUCCUAAUUGAACAUAAAUUUGAGAUUAAGGUGCUCAGUUUAUUAAGCAGAGAAAACACACAUAAAACAAUUGUUCUGCCCUGUCUCAGAAAGGAAAAAAUACUAUAAAAUAAAUUAUACCAUAUCACAUAUUAAAUGAGAAAAACCAUGCUCGAAGAGAACUCAUUUGUUAGAGUACUAACAACAAGAAGGGAAUUUUUAAUUUAUUGGGAUAAUUGACUUUGGAUAUGAAUUUAAGUGUUCGUUACUACCACUACUGAUGAUGUGUGAUGUAGAUAUUCUCUCAAGAUGGAGAACAUGGUAGGAUGGGAGAGUGUUGGCCUGGAAUUUACUCUGUCAUUACCACUUUGCCAAUAAGAACAGAAAGUCAAUGUUUAUUGAGUUUAGUAUGUAACUAUUACUUUAUAUGUAUUAUUUCCUUUAAUCCUCAUAAAGCUCCUGUGAGCCAGGUACUAAUAUUAUUCCCAUUUUUUCAGGUGACUAGUUGGAGGCUAAGAAACUUCCCCAAAUCACUAGCCAACGAAAAGUAAAGACAAGUCAAGUCAAGUAAUCUAAUGCAUGAGCCUUUGCUCCUCAGAAUUUAAUGCUGUAGUGUUCAAGUUUAUUUUUGUGUACCAUUGUCAAUGAUCACUAUAUUUUCUCUCUAAAUAUAAAACACUUGUCUUACUAUUGUUGUUCAUCUUGCGCUUUAGGUCAAAGAACAUCUCUUACUUUGUAUAUUAAUGUUUUAAUUACAUUUAUUUCCCCACGUGUCUGAUGCUAAUUAAGCAUGCUAAUAAAUGUUAAUAAAUAGUUGCAGCCGAGCUUGGAACCAAGAAAUGGAAAUCACUUGACGCUUGUUCUGUGCCACUCGGCCCCAC